rnacentral:sRNA from 1 species
GGUGACAGUGCUGACGCUACAAGGCUCGGAGCUCCGGGCACUCAGACAUCAUGAGUUGGUCCUUGCACCCCCGGAAUUUAAUUCUCUACUUCUAUGCUCUUUUAUUUCUCUCUUCAACAUGUGUAGCAUAUGUUGCUACCAGAGACAACUGCUGCAUCUUAGAUGAAAGAUUCGUAAGUAGUUUUUAUGUUUCUCCCUUUGUGUGUGAACUGGAGAGGGGCAGAGGAAUAGAAAUAAUUCCCUCAUAAAUAUCAUCUGGCACUUGUAACUUUUUAAAAACAUAGUCUAGGUUUUACCUAUUUUUCUUAAUAGAUUUUAAGAGUAGCAUCUGUCAACAUUUUUAAUCACUGUUAUAUUUUCAGGGUAGUUAUUGCCCAACUACCUGUGGCAUUGCAGAUUUCCUAUCUACUUAUCAAACCAAAGUAGACAAGGAUCUACAGUCUUUGGAAGACAUCUUACAUCAAGUUGAAAACAAAACAUCAGAAGUCAAACAGCUGAUAAAAGCAAUCCAACUCACUUAUAAUCCUGAUGAAUCAUCAAAACCAAAUAUGAUAGACGCUGCUACUAUGAAGUCCAGGAAAAUGUUAGAAGAAAUUAUGAAAUAUGAAGCAUCGAUUUUAACACAUGACACAAGUAUUCGAUAUUUGCAGGAAAUAUAUAAUUCAAAUAAUCAAAAGAUUGUUAACCUGAAAGAGAAGGUAGCCCAGCUUGAAGCACAGUGCCAGGAACCUUGCAAAGACACGGUGCAAAUCCAUGAUAUCACUGGGAAAGGUAACUGAUGAAGGUUAUAUUGGGAUUAUGUUCAUCAAAGUAAAUAAUGUAAAGGAGAAAGUAUGUACUGGAAAGUAUAGGAAUAGUUUAGAAAGUGGCUACCCAUUAAGUCUAAGAAUUUCAGUUGUCUAGACCUUUCUUGAAUAGCUAAAAAAAACAGUUUAAAAGGAAUGCUGAUGUGAAAAGUAAGAAAAUUAUUCUUGGAAAAUGAAUAGUUUACUACAUGUUAAAAGCUAUUUUUCAAGGCUGGCACAGUCUUACCUGCAUUUCAAACCACAGUAAAAGUCGAUUCUCCUUCUCUAGAUUGUCAAGACAUUGCCAAUAAGGGAGCUAAACAGAGCGGGCUUUACUUUAUCAAACCUCUGAAAGCUAACCAGCAAUUCUUAGUCUACUGUGAAAUUGAUGGGUCUGGAAAUGGAUGGACUGUGUUUCAGAAGAGACUUGAUGGCAGUGUGGAUUUCAAGAAAAACUGGAUUCAAUAUAAAGAAGGAUUUGGACAUCUGUCUCCUACUGGCACAACAGAAUUUUGGCUGGGAAAUGAGAAGAUUCAUUUGAUAAGCACACAGUCUGCCAUCCCAUAUGCAUUAAGAGUGGAACUGGAAGACUGGAAUGGCAGAAUCAGUACUGCAGACUAUGCCAUGUUCAAGGUGGGACCUGAAGCUGACAAGUACCGCCUAACAUAUGCCUACUUCGCUGGUGGGGAUGCUGGAGAUGCCUUUGAUGGCUUUGAUUUUGGCGAUGAUCCUAGUGACAAGUUUUUCACAUCCCACAAUGGCAUGCAGUUCAGUACCUGGGACAAUGACAAUGAUAAGUUUGAAGGCAACUGUGCUGAACAGGACGGAUCUGGUUGGUGGAUGAACAAGUGUCACGCUGGCCAUCUCAAUGGAGUUUAUUACCAAGGUGGCACUUACUCAAAAGCAUCUACUCCUAAUGGUUAUGAUAAUGGCAUUAUUUGGGCCACUUGGAAAACCCGGUGGUAUUCCAUGAAGAAAACCACUAUGAAGAUAAUCCCAUUCAACAGACUCACAAUUGGAGAAGGACAGCAACACCACCUGGGGGGAGCCAAACAGGCUGGAGACGUUUAAAAGACCGUUUCAAAAGAGAUUUACUUUUUUAAAGGACUUUAUCUGAACAGAGAGAUAUAAUAUUUUUCCUAUUGGACAAUGGACUUGCAAAGCUUCACUUCAUUUUAAGAGCAAAAGACCCCAUGUUGAAAACUCCAUAACAGUUUUAUGCUGAUGAUAAUUUAUCUACAUGCAU